CAGAGUUCAUGCCCUUCGGGGUAGACCUCCCACCCUUGUGUAUUUAUACCUUUGUUGCUUUGGCAGGCCGCCGGGCUCGUCCCGGCUACCGGCUUCGGCUGGUGCGUGCCUGCCAGAGGACCCCAAACUCUGAAUGUUAGUGUCGUCUGAGUACUAUAUAAUAGUUA
rnacentral:misc_RNA from 1 species